GCUUUUAGAUGUUUAAAAGUAAGUCCUGCUCAGUGAUCGUAAACAGCCGCGGUACUUUGACCGUGCAAAGGUAGCAUAAUCAUUUGCUUCGUAAUUGGGGGCUAGUAUGAAUGGGUUAACGAGGGUUUAUCUUUAUUUUUAGAAUGGAAAUAAUUUUCUUUUUUAGUGAAGAAGCUAAAAUAGUAAAGGGGACAAGAAGACCCUUUUGAGCUUUACUGAGAGUCUUUUUGAAAGUUAUCAGUUUGGUUGGGGCGACCAAGGAAUAUCUUCCUUCUUAUUUUGAUCCACGUUUUGUGACAAAAAGAAUAAGUUACCAAAGGGAUAACAGCGUAAUCUUUUUUAAGAGUUCUUAUUAAAAAAAAGGAUUGCGACCUCGAUGUUGACUUAUGGGACCCCUAGGGUGUAGCCGCUUUAAGGGUGGGUCUGUUCGACCUUUAAAACCUU
rnacentral:rRNA from 1 species